rnacentral:rRNA from 1 species
CACGUAGGCGGAUUCUUAAGUCGGAGGUGAAAUCCUGGAGCUCAACUCCAGAACUGCCUUCGAUACUGGGAGUCUUCGAGUUCGGGAGAGGUGAGUGGAACUGCGAGUGUAGAGGUGAAAUUCGUAGAUAUUCGCAAGAACACCAGUGGCGAAGGCGGCUCACUGGCCCGAUACUGACGCUGAGGUGCGAAAGCGUGGGGAGCAAACA